AAGCUGCGACACUUCAGCCUCUGACGCAGGGCCAGCCUCUCAGACACGUCCCCGAAGUCCACCCCUGGGUUCUGCAAGGCCAGAAGGAGGCGAGAGGAGGGUCUGAGGCAGCUGCUCCCGAUGGGAAGGACCCUGCCAGAGGCCAGCCCCAGCCUGGACAGACGGCCCCUGCUGCAGCCGGCUCGUCCACACCCACCCGGGCCCAGGAGCCUCCUGCCUGAGAAGAUGGCCCUGCUCACCUGGCCUUAGCUGCACGGCAUCAGCCUGACCUCUGAAGGGUGGAGACUGAGGUCAGCCAUAUCCAAGAGACCAGCCUGGUGAGGACCCUGGAUACUGAGGCUCGGGGGCUCCUGGCUGGCCCCGCCUGGCAGCCAGAGAAUCAAGUCCAUGGGACCCCCCCGCGGGGGGACACCUGAGAGCUUGUACCUGGCCUUUCCUGGUCCCUGCCCAGGCGUCUCUUCCCUCUGCUGACUUUGCCCCGUGUCCUCUGCCGUGAGAACCCACAGCCGAGUGCGGUGUCUGUGUCUUCCUGGGACUGUGGGGCCUGAGGGGCUGUAGGGACCAGCACUCUCUGAUGGACAGCCAGCCCUGAGGGAGCACCUGCCCCCUGCCCAGGGACCCUCCAGGCUUAGGCCUUGUGGGGAGGGCAGACGACUUGGCCUUCACGGCCUGGGCUUGAAUCCCGUCACCUUCUGGUGUGUGGGCCUGGGACAGUCCCCUACCUUCUCUGUGCCUCAGUUUCUCAUUGGUAAAGUGGGGACGAUCACGCCAGAAACUCACUGUUGCUCUGUUAUGAGGUUUUAAUCAGCCAAGGGGCUCACACCAGGGCCCUUGGACACGGAGGUGACAGGCAUUUGCCGGCCUCACUGCCCGGGGGCCUGGAGCCCCUCACUCAGUUGCCCACACACUUGGGGAGGUCAUCACCCUGCACGUUUUCCUUAUCACUUCAUGGAAAACAAGGCUGUAGGAGCACCGGGUACCCUCUUCUCAUCUCUCAGACACGAGUGCAUGUGUCCACAGCUCCUGAUCUGCCUGGCGGGAGCUGAUAUGGGGGCUGGAUUUGCAGUGAAUGGUCCAGCCUGGGGCCACUUCAGGCCGUGUCACCCACACGCUGGGGUGCACUAGCAGGGGGUGGUGAGCCAAUUUAGUGGGAAUUUUUAAGAAGUAGUAUAUUGUAAAUGAGAAGGAUCACUUUGGUGCUAUGUAUACAAAGCGCUGUAUGUGGACAGACAUAAAUAUAUACGUGUGUGUGUGCGCGCA